rnacentral:rRNA from 1 species
GAGCAGGGACGAAAGUCGGGACUAGUGAUCCGGCGGUGGCUUGUGGAAGCGCCGUCGCUCAACGGAUAAAAGGUACCCCGGGGAUAACAGGCUGAUCUUCCCCAAGAGUCCAUAUCGACGGGAUGGUUUGGCACCUCGAUGUCGGCUCGUCGCAUCCUGGGGCUGGAGUCGGUCCCAAGGGUUGGGCUGUUCGCCCAUUAAAGCGGUACGCGAGCUGGGUUUAGAACGUCGUGAGACAGUUCGGUCCCUAUCCGCUGUGCGCGUAGGAAUAUUGAGAAGGGCUGUCCCUAGUACGAGAGGACCGGGACGGACGA